rnacentral:rRNA from 1 species
GCACAAAGUGCCAGGAAAGAAUUAUUCAAGCCCUUCCCAGAAGGUAUCCUUCUGGCAAGGUGUAUUGUUACUAAACUAACUAAAGUGGGGGAUAGUGAGGGGAUAAAUUUUCUUAAGGAACUCGGCAAAAUCCCAAUGGCGGACCAGGGGGCAUAUUGGAACACGGGCCUCGACUGUUUACCAAAAACAUAGCCCUCGGCUAAUAUGAAAAUAGAUGUAUAGAGGGUGAUGCCUGCCCAAUGGUUGUAUCUAAAAGCGGUUGAUAAAAGUUGACCUCGUAAGGACAAUUGAAUGGCCGCGGUAACACUGACCGUGAUAAUGUAGCGUAAUCAAUAGCCAAUUAAUUGUUGGCCAGUAUGAAUGGCGCCACGAAGGCCCCACUGUCUUAAGGAAAUUCCCAGUGAAAUUGAAUUCGUAGUGAAGAUGCUACGUCCAAUUUGUUAGACGAAAAGACCCCGUUGAGCUUUACUGGAGCACUUACAUGGCCCCGGCCUUCCCAUGCCUGGGAACCGGCCGAAUUUAAAUGGGCGGCUUAGAUUAUGUGGCAGCCCCCCGCUGGGGCAAAUGAAACACCACUCCCCCAUGUCAAAGGGGCUAACCCCCCCCCUUGGGGGGACAGUGUAAGUAGGACAGUUUGGUUGGGGCGACCACCUUUUAAAAAGUAACGAAGGUGCGCUUAAGGUGCGCAAUUAAUGACUGAAGCCUGACUGCGAGGGGGACACCCCGAGCAGACACCCCAAAGCCCGCCCGAAAGGCGGGCGGUGGGGUGGGCCAUAGUGACCCGUUAAUUUAGAGUGGAAUAGUUAACGAUCAACGAAUAAAAGUUACCACGGGGAUAACAGCGUAAUAUCGUUAGAGAGUUCACAUCGACGACGAUGUUUGCGACCUCGAUGUUGAAUUGCGGCAUCCUGGGGUGCAGCCCCCUCCCAAGGGUU